CGAGGGGUAGGGGGUGCUUGCACCCCUGAGACCGGCGCACGGGUGCGGAACGCGUAUGGAACCUGCCCCUGUCAGGGGAAUAGCCCAGGGAAACUUGGAUUAAUGCCCCAUGGUAUCGGAGCAUCGCAUGAUGUUCCGAUUAAAGAUUUAUCGGACAGGGAUGGCCAUGCGUACCAUUAGCUUGAUGGUGGGGUAACGGCCCACCAUGGCGACGAUGGUUAGGGGCCCUGAGAGGGGGAUCCCCCACACUGGUACUGAGACACGGACCAGACUCCUACGGGAGGCAGCAGUGAGGAAUAUUGGACAAUGGUCGGAAGACUGAUCCAGCCAUGCCGCGUGCAGGAUGACGGCCCUAUGGGUUGUAAACUGCUUUUAUACGGGAAGAAACGCACCUACGUGUAGGUGUCUGACGGUACCGUAAGAAUAAGGACCGGCUAACUCCGUGCCAGCAGCCGCGGUAAUACGGAGGGUCCGAGCGUUAUCCGGAAUCAUUGGGUUUAAAGGGUCCGUAGGCGGGCCUGUAAGUCAGGGGUGAAAGUUUGUGGCUCAACCAUAAAAUUGCCUUUGAUACUGCAGGUCUUGAGUCAUGGUGGGGUUGCCGGAACAUGUGGUGUAGCGGUGAAAUGCAUAGAUAUCACAUAGAACACCGAUCGCGAAGGCAGGUGACCAACCAUGUACUGACGCUGAUGGACGAAAGCGUGGGUAGCGAACGGGAUUAGAUACCCCGGUAGUCCACGCCGUAAACGAUGGAUACUAGCUGUGGGGGGCGCAAGCCUCCGUGGGCCAAGCGAAAGUGAUAA
rnacentral:rRNA from 1 species